rnacentral:rRNA from 1 species
GUGGGGAAUAUUGGACAAUGGGCGCAAGCCUGAUCCAGCCAUGCCGCGUGUGUGAAGAAGGCCUUUUGGUUGUAAAGCACUUUAAGCGAGGAGGAGGCUCCUUUAGUUAAUACCUAAAGAGAGUGGACGUUACUCGCAGAAUAAGCACCGGCUAACUCUGUGCCAGCAGCCGCGGUAAUACAGAGGGUGCGAGCGUUAAUCGGCUUUACUGGGCGUAAAGCGUGCGUAGGCGGCUUUUUAAGUCGGAUGUGAAAUCCCUGAGCUUAACUUAGGAAUUGGAUUAGAUACUGGAAAGCUAGAUUAUGGGAGAGGAUGGUAGAAUUCCAGGUGUAGCGGUGAAAUGCGUAGAGAUCUGGAGGAAUACCGAUGGCGAAGGCAGCCAUCUGGCCUAAUACUGACGCUGAGGUACGAAAGCAUGGGGAGCAAACAGGAUUAGAAACCCGAGUAGUCC